AAAGCUCAUAAAAUAUAAAUAAAUGAGUAUAAAUAAAUAAUAGCGUUUUUCUCACACCACUUACUGCGGCAGUAAGCGUUGCGUGUUUCACAGCAACCAAAAAAUAAUUAGUCGUGUUUCUUCGUGUUCUGUUUCGUCGAUAAAACAGGUGACAUGUGCGCAAUGCGGGUUUCUUGCUUAAUUUGAUUGCGAAUAGGUUAAUUCUAUUUAUUCCGGUAUUUGAGGAGUGUGAGGCUAUUGGAGACCUGGGGGAGUCUUCUUAGCGCUGGUGGAAAAUAUUUUUUGUGCUAGUGGACUGGUAAAAGGCAUUUGGGGUAGGUUAUGUGCUCAUGUUAUUGUGGGGAGUGCAAAUGCAGCAGUAGUGCAUCGUGUUCAACCUUCCCCAGUGUCUGGGUAACCAUCGACAGUCAGGUCACGAGGUCCACAUUCAAAAGCCGCUCCAAGGGUGCGGAAAUGGUCUAACUGAGUGAUAGGAGUGAGUGAUUGAGAUAGUGAAUGAGAUAGGGAAGGCAUCGGAGCUGCUUUUUCAUCUUCAGCUUGCCUGCUGUCUCGUCCUCACCUGCUCAAGGAAGUGAUUGGAGCUAAAAAAGGCAGUUGGGGUAGGUUAUGCGGGCAUCAUGUUCGGGGGAGUGUAAAUGCAGCAGUAGUGCAUCGUGUUCCACGUGCCCCAGUUUCUUGGCGGCUAUUGACAGUCAAGUGACGAGGUCCACGUUCAAAAACUGCUCCAAAGUUGCGAAAAUGGUCCAACUGAGUGAUGGGGGCGAGUGAUUACAGCAAUAGUGAAUGAGCUUGCCUGUUGUCUCACCUUCAACUGUUCCAUGAAAGGAUUGGAGCUGAUGUCUCGUCUGCAACUGCUUCAUGGAGAGAUUGGAGCUUGUUUCUCGUCUUCAACUGCUCCAAGAAGGGAUGAGGAUUUCGGUCGCGUCUUCAUGUGCUCAAGGAAAAAAGAUUGGAGUUGAUGUUUCGUCUUCAACUGCUCCAGGAAAAGAUUGCAACUGAUUUCUCGUCUUCAACUGCUCCAGGAAGUGAUUGGAGCUCGUCUCUCGUCUUUAACUGCUCUAGGAAGGGAUUGGAGCGCCUCCCUCGACUCCAACUGAUCCAUAAAGGGAUUGGAGUUGAUGUCUCAUCUUCAACUGCUCCCGGAUGGGAUUAGAGCUUCUGUCACGUCCUCAUGAGCUCCACGAAAAGAUUGGAGCUGAUGUCUCGUCUUCAACUGCUCCAUGGAGAGAUUGGAACUGAUGUCUCGUCUUCAACUGCUCCAGGAAGGGAUGGGAGCUGAUGUCUCGCCUUCAACUGCUCCAGCAAGAGAUUGAAGGAUUGGAUAUGCUACACGAGGGGGCUAUUCACAGUCAGGUGACGAGGUCCACGUUCAAAAACUGCUCCAAAGGUACGGAAAUGCUCUGACUAAGGGAUUGGAGCUGCUCUUCAAAAUAAUAAAUAAAUGAAAAAGUGGAGGAUCGAAUAUUCCAGUAGAAAUUUAGGGAAAUUUCAAAUUUUUAUAUUUUCAUUUAAACAUGAAUGAAAAAAAAUGACAAAUCUUAUGCAAAAAAAUAU